rnacentral:rRNA from 1 species
UACGUAGGGUGCAGGCGUUAAUCGGAAUUACUGGGCGUAAAGCGUGCGCAGGCGGUCUAUUAAGACAGGUGUGAAAUCCCCGGGCUUAACCUGGGAACUGCGUUUCUAACUGGCAGGCUUGAGUGUGGCAGAGGGGGGUGGAAUUCCACGUGUAGCAGUGAAAUGCGUAGAGAUGUGGAGGAACACCGAUGGCGAAGGCAGCCCCCUGGGCUAACACUGACGCUCAUGCACGAAAGCGUGGGGAGCAAACAGG